GUGGGGAAUUUUGGACAAUGGGCGCAAGCCUGAUCCAGCAAUGCCGCGUGCAGGAAGAAGGCCUUCGGGUUGUAAACUGCUUUUGUAUGGAACGAAACGGUCCUGGUUAAUACCUGGGGCUAAUGACGGUACCGUAAGAAUAAGCACCGGCUAACUACGUGCCAGCAGCCGCGGUAAUACGUAGGGUGCAAGCGUUAAUCGGAAUUACUGGGCGUAAAGCGUGCGCAGGCGGUUUUGUAAGACAGGCGUGAAAUCCCCGGGCUCAACCUGGGAAUUGCGGUUGUGACUGCAAGGCUGGAGUGCGGCAGAGGGGGAUGGAAUUCCGCGUGUAGCAGUGAAAUGCGUAGAUAUGCGGAGGAACACCGAUGGCGAAGGCAAUCCCCUGGGCCUGCACUGACGCUCAUGCACGAAAGCGUGGGGAGCAAACAGGAUUAGAAACCCGGGUAGUCC
rnacentral:rRNA from 1 species